AGUGCUCUGUGAGUGUUUAUAGCCCUGUGACUUUAUCACUUCAUGACUGAGAGCUGCUGCUCAGCAACUUCACCCACAGCAACCAUGACUCUGAUCAGCGUCUUCAUCUGUACACUGGUCCUCUGGACUCAAGGAUCCAGAGGUCAGGGGACUGUGACUCAGACUCCUUCAGUGCAAACUGUUUCUCCUGGAAACACAGUGACCAUCAACUGUAGAUUCAGCACUGCUGUUUAUCACGACUGUGGGCCCUCUGGUGUAUCAUAUGACUGUCUAGCCUGGUACCUACAGAAACCUGGAGAAGCUCCUAAACUCCUAGUGCACUAUGUGAGUCACCUGUUCUCAGGGACUCCAGCUCGUUUCAGUGGCAGUGGAUCUAAGACUGACUUCACUCUGACCAUCAGUGGAGUCCAGGCUGAAGAUUCAGGAGAUUACUAUUGUCAGAGUUACCACAGUGGUGAUGUGUACACACAGUGUUACAGCGCCGUACAAAAACCUCAUCACAGAGAAGCACUGCUGCAGCUGGGAAAGACUGCAGGUGCUGAGCACAGGAGAAAACACACCACACUAACACACACACACACACACACACACACACCAGUGAGAGGGGUCUACAUUUCCCAGCUGUGGAUCAUUAUUUUAAGUAACAUAUUGACCGUGGAUCUGAGAAAGAAUUUCAUCUUAAACUGACUGAGGUCCAGUUAUCCACACACAGUGACACUCAGCUGAACAUCAACUACACAUCAUUACAAAGUCCUUUUCUCUUUUUGGGGAAUUUUUGCUCACUAGGGAAAAAGGUUCCUCUUGGUCAGUUUUAGGUUCUGCCUUUCUGAAGAGGUUUACACAGAGGAACAAGCAAGACAACUUUAGUUAAUGCAGCAGCAGACAAUCUUACUCAGCUGAUACGACUCUGUAAAAAUACUGUUUUUAGUAACACAC